rnacentral:sRNA from 1 species
UUCCGUCCCCACCCACUCCGCUCGGGGAAUA